UGCCAGACUCCUACGGGAGGCAGCAGUGGGGAAUAUUGCACAAUGGGCGAAAGCCUGAUGCAGCAACGCCGCGUGAAGGAAGAAGGGUUUCGGCUCGUAAACUUCUAUCAACAGGGACGAAAGAAAUGACGGUACCUGAAUAAGAAGCCCCGGCUAACUACGUGCCAGCAGCCGCGGUAAUACGUAGGGGGCAAGCGUUAUCCGGAAUUACUGGGUGUAAAGGGUGAGUAGGCGGCAUGGUAAGCCAGAUGUGAAAGCCUUGGGCUUAACCCGAGGAUUGCAUUUGGAACUAUCAAGCUAGAGUACAGGAGAGGAAAGUGGAAUUCCUAGUGUAGCGGUGGAAUGCGUAGAUAUUAGGAGGAACAUCAGUGGCGAAGGCGACUUUCUGGACUGUAACUGACGCUGAGGCACGAAAGUGUGGGGAGCAAACAGGAUUAGAUACCCCUGUAC
rnacentral:rRNA from 1 species